rnacentral:rRNA from 1 species
UGGGGAAUAUUGCACAAUGGGGGAAACCCUGAUGCAGCGACGCCGCGUGAACGAAGAAGGUAUCCGUAUCGUAAAUUUCUGUCCUAUGGGAAGAUAAUGACAGUACCAUAGAAGAAAGCUCCGGCUAAAUACGUGCCAGCAGCCGCGGUAAUACGUAUGGAGCGAGCGUUGUCCGGAAUUAUUGGGCGUAAAGGGUACGCAGGCGGUUUAAUAAGUCGAAUGUUAAAGAUCGGGGCUCAACCCCGCAAAGCAUUGGAAACUGAUAAACUUGAGUAGUGGAGAGGAAAGUGGAAUUCCUAGUGUAGUGGUGAAAUACGUAGAUAUUAGGAGGAAUACCAGUAGCGAAGGCGACGUUCUGGACACAAACUGACGCUGAGGUACGAAAGCGUGGGGAGCAAACAGG